rnacentral:lncRNA from 1 species
GCCUUGUCUUGUGUUUCCUCAAGCCAGGCCGUGCUCACCUGUGGCGCUCACCACAAUACUGGCUACAUGCCAGGUCUGCUGCUCCUGGGAGCCCUGUUUUCAUGAACACCUGGGUUGACUCUCCCUGUUUGCCUCCCUCAGACACUAAAUUUGUAGAGCUUGGGGCUGAGAUCCCCCAGCGAAUUUGCUCGCCCUCCUGUAGCCACGCCCCCGGUAGCUGGUGCAAGAGACCUCAGUUGUCAGCACUGGUGGGAGCGGUAGCCGGGAGUUCCGCGCUGCGAGUCCCGCGCCACUCCUGAUUCCCUCGGUCUGGUUAUUGCGUUCACAGGAGAGCUGGGAGUGGCCCUUAAGGUUUCCCCGCUGUGUGGAGAGAGAUGACUAGGGGAUUACACACCUGUCGCGCUGGUUUCAAUGCAGUUAUCUCCUCCGCCCGUGACGCCAUUUCUCUGCCAUGGUGGUAUCCCAUGCAAAUGGUGACCGUUCGUUCCCUUUGCUGGGUGACCAAUGCAACGGGUGGGUCCUGACUGUCUCUCCCAAUCCCCGUUUCAGUCCUGUGGCCACUGCCUAUGAAGGCUCGGUUGGCUUUUACCUCUGUAAGUUCCUAAGGGCCGACCAAUUAUUUCAGCGGGAUCGUUAGGGCUGGGUCACACGAAGCAGGCGAACCGGAGCUUAAUUGCCUCCGAUUCGGGCUCUGUGUGUGUGUUCUGAGGGGCCCAGCCUGUACAGCCCAGAUCCACAUCAGCUCAGCAUUGUCUAGUGAUCCUGAGCAAACAGCAUUUAGACAGUUUACGGCUCCCUAUGCCCGCGCAGUUGAAGAUGUCACAGACUUGAUCUCUCUGCGCCUGCCACCAUGUUAGAUCUCCUCAAUGAUAUUCAUGUUGCCCUUACAGCUUCCUGGCAUAAGCAAGUUCUUGGGAUUAUACAAACUGCUGCUUCUGUUUCCAGUCCAGAUUUCUAGAAAUGAAACCCUGCCGCCGUCGCCUCCGUCUCUGGGCCGCGCUCACGGGCGCUGCGCUCGUCUGGGACCGUAGCAGAGCCGCCCUGGCCUCCUCAGCUCUUCAGCCCGGUGCCCGGCCCCUGGGGCCCAAGCGGCUGCCGCCGCGGCUCUCCGCCCCCCUCCUCCGGAGCACGGGUCCCUUGGCAGGGGGGUGCAGAACGACCCCAGAGCAGGCUCUGCCCGAAGGUGCAGCGGCGAACAGGCCACCGAGGCGCUCGAGGCUGCAGUCCAGCCUUCGGAGGACAGGGCUUGGCACGCAGCCCAGCUCCAACCUCUAUAUGCUGCUGCCGGAUAAUGUAUACAGAGCCAUCAAGACAGCAAGCAGAAAGCAAAUGGCGGCUCCCGCGGAGUGGAUUUUCAGCACCAAACAUAAGAAUUUUAUUUGACUUCUCCUCAAAUCAUGAAAGCAAAAGAGAGUGGAAUAGAGAUGAAACAUAAACAACCAACCAAAAACCCAAGCCCACCAACUUACAAUUAUGUGCCCUGAAAAUUAUUCUCCAAUAGUGAAGAAUAAAUACAUUCUAAAACAAACAAAAAUGAAGGAAUUUUUUUCCAAUAGCCUUGCCUUUCCAGAAAUGUUCUAUUCUGCAGGGCAUAUUGGUGCACACCUAUAAUCCCAGUGGCUCUGGAGGCUGAGGCAGGAGGAUCACAAGUUUAAAGCCAGCCUUCGAAACUUAUUGAGGUCCUAAGCAAUAUAAUGAGACCCUGUCUAUGAAUACAUAAAUAAGGGCUGUGGAUGUGGUUCAGUGUUUAAGUGCCCCUGGGUUCACUCCCAGGUACCAGAAGGAAAAACAUAGAAUGUUAUAUUCUUUGAGGAUACAGAAAAUUAUAUAGGUCAAAGAUUUAUGUCUGCAUGAGGAAAGGAAGAGUUUUGGAGAAGGAAUAAGUGAAAGAAUUUUUUUAAACUCUCACUUUUCUUGUUCUUAAUUGAUGUAACAGAUGAUAGUGUGUUCAAAAUAAUAUCGAUAAUAUACACAAUGCAUAUAGCUAUAAUGUAUAUGUGCAAUUAAUGACAGUAAUGAUAAAAAAGAUGAAAGGGAAGAGUUAUGGAUACUUUGUGGUUAUAAGGUACUUGCGCUGCCUGUGAAAUGGUAUGUGGUAUUUGAAAUUAGACUUGCAUUAGUUAUAAAUAUGUAGUAAAACCACAGGACAAGCAUCAAAAUAUAAAAAGACAAUAUUAUAUGCUAAGAAAGGAGAGAAAAUUUUAUCAUUAAAAUACUCAGUAAAUUACAAAUUCAGGAAAGAGUAGAAAGCAAAAAUAGGAACCAAAACCAAGAGUAAUAAAUAUAAAACAGUAGCAAAAUUGUACAUAUUCAAUCUAAUUAUAUCAGUAAUCACUUUAAAUGUCAGUAGUCUAAAUACACCACAUAAAAGAUUGUCAGAUUGGGUCAAAAAAUAAAACCCAGCCAUAUGCUGUCUGCAAGAACCCAUUGUAAAUAUGAAUACAUGUAUGGAUUAAAGUAAAGGAUUAGGGAAAGAUAUAUCAUGCUAACAUUAGUCAAGAGAAAAUGGGAUUAAUUUUAUUAAUUUCUGACAGAGUAGAUUUAAAAGCCAGGAAAUUAUCAGGGAUAAAUUGAAAAAAACAGUUAAUUCUCCAAGAAUUCAUAGAAUCUUUAAUGUUUAUAGGCCUAAAAAUUGAGUGUUAAUAUAAGCUAGGUAAUGUGAAAGACAGAUCAAGAAAUUGUAAUGUAAAAAAAUGUCAUUGACAUGGCAUCAAAUCCCACAUUAUCAAAUAUAUAUAUAUAUAUACAUAUAUAUAUAUAUAUAUAUAUAUAUAUAUAUAAAACAUCAAUUAAAAAUAUAUGAAUUGGAAGGUAGACUAGAAGAGUAGAAGAAGGGAAAUAGGGGAAGGAUGGAGGGGAGGAAAAGGGUGGGCACAGGGGACUGAAUGAAGCAAAUUUAAAUUUAUGCAUGUAUGAAUAUGAAUCCAACUAUAAUGUGCAACUAUAGUGUACCAAUUAAAGCAAAAUAGUGGUAGACAAAUGCCACUAAAUAACAUAUAUGGGUACACACUCACAGUGGUGUAGUUAUAAAUAGUAUUCUCCAUGUUUACUAUGAAUUUAUUAAGCUUAUCCCACAUUUAAAUUCUUCCAGUUUCAAAUCAUUGAGAUUUGUAGUUCUGCUUUCUCAUCUGGAUAAUGAUCUGUAUGAUCAAAUAAGUGAGCCUGUUACUUAUAUGUUUUUGCUCUGAUUCCACCUAUAAUAAGUCAUUUUGCAUUAUCAUUAGUAUUUUUAUAACCCUAUUUCACUUUGGGAUGAGCUUUCCUCUUAGAAUUAUUGUGCUGUGGCUUUUGUAUUCUCAUCCUUUUUCAAUGCCUUGUCUUCCAUCUUUUAUAUAUCUUCUUUUUAAAUGUGACUUUAUUAAAGAGAAGUUUCAGAGUUGUUUCAA